rnacentral:lncRNA from 1 species
CAGUAACUAGGUAUAUGUAUUCCUAUUGUAGUUAAAAACAAACAAACAAAAACUACCCAGGUUUUGAAACUCUGGAGACGUGAGUCUCUCGGCUCCUAAGGGCUGAGAAAGACUGGCAGAUUCUGCUAGAAAUUCAGAGCGCCAAAAAGUCAAAAGCAAUGACCUUAAACACAGCAACUUCCCCUGUGCCACCAAUGUAUUUUGCCGUGUGUACAAGAACCAACAUUGAUUUAGUUUAAUAAUUUGUUUACCAAUUCUGAGCGUGCUUGGUCAGAAGAGUGAACACACUUCACGGAAGAUAAAUAACGGCUGCCCGGCUGCCAAAUGGAUUCGUUCACAAAGCAGAUGAAUUCUGCAAGGUCCUUGAGAGUACUGAUGGAAAAUUCUGAUUCCUAAUUGAUCAGUGCUGGUCUUCCUCCAUCACAGCUUGUAGCACUUAGGGAGGUUGGUCACGAAGCCCAGAAAGUCACAUGAGCUGCUUCACCAAGAAGGGAAAUGUGUUUUAAAGGCACAGGCUCCUCUCUGAACCCAAAGCGUGGGGGCUGCUGAAUUUCAGAGUGGAAUGGGAUCAGGCCUAGAGUUUGUUGGGCCCUCGAGGGGUCCACUCCCAGGGAUUCUGGUUUCUUUCUCCUGCGGUUUGUCAGUCUUUCCUCCGUUGCAGAAGGGCCAUCUCCGCAUCCUACUCAACACAGGUCCAAAUGGCACCCAACAGCGCGCCAACGUUGGCCUCCGCCCCACUCAAGAUAAGACAUUAUCUACAAUAAAACGAAGACUUCCAAACCUUCAUAGAACACUUCAUCCAUGUGACUUGGAAGCGCCAAUGGCUGAUAUCAAAAGGCUGCUAUCAAAAGGCUGAUUCCAUCGAAGGUCCAGGUCUGCAUUCAGACAGCGCUGAAGUGGCUUCUUGCGCAGGAGAACUAUUUGACCAAAGCGUGGCAUAAACAGACAUGUAGUAGCCCACUUUUCACUGGAUGUAUUUUCUACAAUUUAAUGUUCUAGGCUGGAGAGUUGUUUUACACUAAUCUUAAUAUUAUAAAAUUAAUACCUGCUUAUGGUAAAAAAAAAAAAAUUCAGAGCACAGAUGGGCAUCACCUGAAAAGUAGAAGUUAUUCUCCCCUCUUAAACACAGCCUGAUCCCUGAGAAAGUUUUUCUUAUAGAACUUUUCUUUAAAUAUCAUCUCUUCAAAAAAAAAAAAAAAAUCACAGCCAGAAUGUUCCUAAGUAUCUUCUUCAACAAUUUUCCUGGGAGUUUUUGUCACGGCUCAGCAGAAACCAACCCAGCUAGUAUCCAUGAGGAUGCAGGUUCGACCUCUGGCCUUGCUCAGUGGGUUAAGGAUCCUGCGUUGCCUGGAGCUGUGGUGCAGAUUGCAGAUGUGCCUCAGCUCUGGCAUUGCUGAGGCUGAGGUGUAGGCCAGCAGCUACAGCUCAGAUUUGACUCCUAGCCUGGGAACCUCUAAUUGCCGCAGGUGUGGCCCUAAAAAAACCCCCCAAAAAACAAAAAAAAAAACAAUUUGCCUCUUAAGUUUGAAGUUGAUUUUGAAUAUCUUUACAUGAAGAUAUAUUUUGAUCAAUGAUUACACAGUAUUCCAUCAUAGGAAUCUACUAUAAUAUACUUAAACAUGAUUUUGAGAAUUUUGCAGUUGCAAAUCAUGCAUCCAUUCUUACAUUUUUGCACAUUUGUGGGAGUUUCUCUGCAGUGUAAUCUUCUGGAAAGAGAAUUUCUGAGUCAAAGGAUAUGUGCUUUAGAAAUGCUGAGAGAGGGAGUUCCCAUUGUGGCUCAGUGAUAAUGAACCCAAAUAGUAUCUAUGAGGAUUCGGGUUCGAUCCCUGACCUUGCUCAGUGGGUUGGGGAUCCAGUGUUGCCAUGGGCUGUGGUAUAGGUCACAGACGUGGCUCGGAUCUUGUGUUGCUAUGGCUGUGGUGAAGGCUGGCAGCUGCAGCUCUGAUUCGACCCCUAGCCUGGGACCUUCCAUAUGCCAUGGGUGCAGUCCUGAAAAGCAAAAAAAUAAAAAAAAAUGAUAAAAAAAAAGAAAUCCUGAG